rnacentral:rRNA from 1 species
AUUGAACGCUGGCGGCAGGCCUAACACAUGCAAGUCGAACGAGUGGCGGACGGGUGAGUAAUGUCUGGGAAACUGCGCGAUGGAGGGGGAUAACUACUGGAAACGGUAGCUAAUACCGCAUAACAUCCGAUGUGCCCAGAUGGGAUUAGCUAGUAGGUGGGGUAACGGCUCACCGAGGCGACGAUCCCUAGCGGGUCUGAGAGGAUGACCGGCCACACUGGAACUGAGACACGGUCCAGACUCCUACGGGAGGCAGCAGUGGGGAAUAUUGCACAAUGGGCGAAAGCCUGACGCAGCCAUGCCGCGUGUAUGAAGAAGGCCUUCGGGUUGUAAAGUACUUUCAUCGGGGAGGCGUUACCCGCAGAAGAAGCACCGGCUAACUCCGUGCCAGCAGCCGCGGUAAUAC